rfam:Chlamydiae bacterium RIFCSPHIGHO2_01_FTLL_44_39 rifcsphigho2_01_scaffold_2363, whole genome shotgun sequence.
GUCCUCGUAGCUCAGGGGAUAGAGCGGUCGCCUCCUAAGCGACAGGUCGCAGGUUCAAGUCUUGCCGAGGACG